rnacentral:lncRNA from 1 species
GACCAACACACCUCUGACAACGCAGGAGCGCCAUAUUGAACAAGUAACAGCAUCCCUCCAAGCUAGAGCAUGUGAGAGCGUUCAGCUGGUGGCAGAGCUGCAAGUGUUCUCGCAAACAGACCCUCCUCAUCCCCCUGUACGCCACGACUCGUUCUCCCGGCAGCAGGAAACGCUGGGCGCUCUGCUGAUUUACACAGAAUUUCUGAAGAAUUGACUCUCAAUAUGAAUGGAAGAAACCACCUCUAAACAACUGUUUAAUGUGUUCCACUGUAUACUUGUCCUCACGGCCACUUUAACAAGC